rnacentral:rRNA from 1 species
CCUACGGGUGGCAGCAGUGGGGAAUAUUGCGCAAUGGGCGAAAGCCUGACGCAGCGACGCCGCGUGAGGGAUGAAGGUCUUCGGAUCGUAAACCUCUGUCAGCAGGGAAGAACGGUCACUGUGCUAAUCAGCAGUGAAUUGACGGUACCUGCAAAGGAAGCACCGGCUAACUCCGUGCCAGCAGCCGCGGUAAUACGGAGGGUGCGAGCGUUAAUCGGAAUUACUGGGCGUAAAGCGCUCGUAGGCGGUAUGUCAAGUCAAGGGUGAAAUCCCCGCGCGCAACGUGGGAACUGCCUGUGAAACUGGCAAACUGGGGUGUGUGAGAGGAUAGUGGAAUUCCAGGUGUAGGAGUGAAAUCCGUAGAUAUCUGGAGGAACAUCAGUGGCGAAGGCGACUAUCUGGCACAUAACUGACGCUGAGGAGCGAAAGCGUGGGUAGCAAACAGGAUUAGAUACCCUGGUAGUC